rnacentral:rRNA from 1 species
AUUGAACGCUGGCGGCAUGCUUUACACAUGCAAGUCGAACGGCAGCGCGGGCUUCGGCCUGGCGGCGAGUGGCGAACGGGUGAGUAAUACCUCGGCACGUGCCCAGUAGUGGGGGAUCGCUCGGCGAAAGCCGGAUUAAUACCGCAUCCGACCUGAGGGUGAAAGCGGGGGAUCUUCGGACCUCGCGCUAUUGGAGCGGCCGAUGGCCGAUUAGCUAGUUGGUGGGGUAAAGGCCUACCAAGGCGACGAUCUCUAGCUGGUCUGAGAGGACGACCAGCCACACUGGGACUGAGACACGGCCCAGACUCCUACGGGAGGCAGCAGUGGGGAAUUUUGGACAAGGGGCGAAAGCCUGAUCCAGCAAUGCCGCGUGUGGGAUGAAGGCCUUCGGGUUGUAAAGCACUUUUGGCGGGAACGAAAAGGACUGUGCCAAUACCACGGUUCGAUGACGGUACCCGCAGAAUAAGCACCGGCUAACUACGUG